GACGUAGGGGACGAGCGUUGUCCGGAUUCAUUGGGCGUAAAGAGCGUGUAGGCGGCCAUGUAGGUCCGUUGUGAAAACUCGAGGCUCAACCUCGAGACGCCGAUGGAAACCAUGUGGCUAGAGUCCGGAAGAGGAGAGUGGAAUUCCUGGUGUAGCGGUGAAAUGCGCAGAUAUCAGGAAGAACACCCGUGGCUAAGGCGGCUCUCUAGUACGGUACUGACGCUGAGACGCGAAAGCGUGGGGAGCGAACAGG
rnacentral:rRNA from 1 species